rnacentral:tRNA from 1 species
GCGCACGUAGCUCAACGGAUAGAGCAUCUGACUACGGAUCAGAAGGUUGGGGGUUCGAAUCCUCCCGUGCGCGCCA